rnacentral:rRNA from 1 species
GUCUAUGGCCAUGCCACCCUGAACAAGCCCAAUCCUGUCUGAUCUCGGAAGCUAAGCAGGGUCAGGCCUGGUUAGUACUUAGAUGGGAGACCACCUAGGAAGAUCAGGUGCUGUAGGUG